AUUGAACGCUGGCGGCAGGCCUAACACAUGCAAGUCGAGCGGCAGCGGAAAGUAGCUUGCUACUUUGCCGGCGAGCGGCGGACGGGUGAGUAAUGUCUGGGAAACUGCCUGAUGGAGGGGGAUAACUACUGGAAACGGUGGCUAAUACCGCAUGACGUCGCAAGACCAAAGUGGGGGACCUUCGGGCCUCACGCCAUCGGAUGUGCCCAGAUGGGAUUAGCUAGUAGGUGGGGUAAUGGCUCACCUAGGCGACGAUCCCUAGCUGGUCUGAGAGGAUGACCAGCCACACUGGAACUGAGACACGGUCCAGACUCCUACGGGAGGCAGCAGUGGGGAAUAUUGCACAAUGGGCGCAAGCCUGAUGCAGCCAUGCCGCGUGUGUGAAGAAGGCCUUCGGGUUGUAAAGCACUUUCAGCGAGGAGGAAGGCAUCAUACUUAAUACGUGUGGUGAUUGACGUUACUCGCAGAAGAAGCACCGGCUAACUCCGUGCCAGCAGCCGCGGUAAUACGGAGGGUGCAAGCGUUAAUCGGAAUUACUGGGCGUAAAGCGCACGCAGGCGGUUUGAUAAGUUAGAUGUGAAAGCCCCGGGCUCAACCUGGGAAUUGCAUUUAAAACUGUCCAGCUAGAGUCUUGUAGAGGGGGGUAGAAUUNC
rnacentral:rRNA from 1 species